rnacentral:rRNA from 1 species
UACAGAGGGGGCAAGCGUUAUUCGGAAUUAUUGGGCGUAAAGGGCGCGUAGGCGGCCAUUCAAGUGACGGGUGAAAGCCCUCGGCUUAACCGAGGAACUGCCUGUCAGACUGGAUGGCUUGAGACCGGGAGAGGUGAGUGGAAUUCCCAGUGUAGCGGUGAAAUGCGUAGAUAUUGGGAGGAACACCAGUGGCGAAGGCAGCUCGCUGGGACGUUACUGACGCUGAGACGCGAAAGCUAGGGGAGCGAACAGG